ensembl:lncRNA
ACCUCCCCCUCAGCCUAGCUGGCGAAGCUUUCACUGGAACUUGAGGGUUCUGAGGCUCCAAUUGGUUGGUGAGUGGCAUCCUCCUCCUUAAGCAAUGAAAGAUGAACUGAGGUUGACAGGAUCUCCAGAGAUAAGCAUUAGCUGAGCAUCCACUGUAUUGAGUCUCACACCAAGUUCUACAGAGAAGUGGAAGCUUUCACAGGACAGCUGGUGGCAAAACCCGUUGGAAAUUCCUUAGCCAACACCUGACUGAAAACGAUUCAUCUCUAUGGCUGCUGGUGCCUAGACCAAAGUCCUCAUUUUUGACCAAGACAGAUCACACUUUGGUAAAAAUGGAAGAAGGAAGUAUUUUUACCACUUUUUUAAAAAAAUGGUUUACUGUGUGGAUACUCACUGACUUAGUGAGUAAACAGAAAGGGGCCUAUGUUUCCCAUAGGUGUAUUCCACAAGUGUAGAAAAAAUACCAGUGACCCUUUUCUAUCUUGCAUAUUUGGACCUCUGAACUUCUGCAUAUUUUGUCACACUUGACAUAACUGUGUUCCAGAUGAAAGAAGAACCUAGUCUUUCAAGUGGCCAUUAUGAAGCUAAGUACAUAAAUAUGCAUGAGAGGGCAUUAUUAUCACAGGAUGAUACUUAAAAGGUUCGAGUGUCUCUUACUAAGACUUUUCAUCUUGCAGUUUCAUAUCACCAUGUCUAUUUGUGCUUUGGAGGUUUUCCAGGU